rnacentral:misc_RNA from 1 species
ACUGUAGGGGACACACUGGUGUUUUCUAAACUAAAGCUGAAUGCAUUCCCAAUUGCACAGGAUGUGAUUGCAUGCAUCAGAGAAGCCCAGAAGGGACAGAAUCCCAGCAUUAUAGAAACUGGGGAGUCAGCAGGUUGCAGCAUUCUCUAAGUACAGCAUACUACAGCAUAGAAAGCAUUCCCAGUGUUAGUGCAUAUGUUCUUACAAAUUUCGCAGCAGUAUUUAUGAAGGUUGGAGGGAAAUGACUCAAGAUCAACCCCCCUGUCUGGAGACUUUCACUGCUCAAAUUUGUACCAACAUGUUCAUCCAAGGAAUGUCAUAAAACUUUUUAAUUUCCUCUUCAACUCAUAUGAUUUAUUUAUUCUCUUGAAGAGGUAAUGUUAUUUUUUUUCCCCAUGUGUUGUAAUUUAUACAUAUACAGUAGAACAAUUUUUCUUAUACAAUGAAUAAAAUUUUUUUCUC